GCCUGGCUUGCUUAAUUGGUAGAGUAUGUGACUUUUGGUCUCAGGAUCGUGAGUUCAAGCCCCAAGUUGGGCA
rnacentral:tRNA from 1 species